GACGGAGGGUGCAAGCGUUGUUCGGAAUUACUGGGCGUAAAGCGCGUGCAGGUGGCCUUUUAAGUCCUUUGUGAAAUUCCGGAGCUCAACUCCGGACAUGCAUAGGAUACUGGAAGGCUAGAGACUGGUAGAGGCGAGCGGAAUUCCUGGUGUAGCGGUGGAAUGCGUAGAUAUCAGGAAGAACACCGGUGGCGAAGGCGGCUCGCUGGGCGUGAUCUGACGCUGAGGCGCGAAAGCGUGGGGAGCGAACAGG
rnacentral:rRNA from 1 species